rnacentral:rRNA from 1 species
AUGAAAUUAAAAUUAUUAAAUAUAAUUUUAUCAAUAAUAAAUAAACUUAAUAAUAAUAAUAAUAUUAUUAUUAAUAAUCUAUUAGAUUCAUUAAUAAAUAAGAAAUUAUUAUUAAAGAAUAUAUUAUUAGAUAUAAAUAAUAAAAAAAUAAAUAAUAUAAAAAGGAUAUUAAAUAAUAAUAAUAUAAAUAUUAAUAAUAAAUUACAACAUUUAAAUAAUAUAAAUAAUUGAAAUCUACAAAUUUAUAAUUAUAAUAAAAAUAUAGAAAUUAUAAAUACUAUAAAUGAUAAAUUAAUUAAUAAAUUAUUAUAUAAAAUAAUAACUUUAAAAUUAAAUAAUAUAAAUAUUAAUAAAAUUAUUAUAAGUAAACUUAUUAAUCAACAUAGUUUAAAUAAAUUAAAUAUUAAAUUUUAUUAUUAUAAUAAUGAUAUUAAUAAUAAUAAUAAUAAUAAUAAUAAUAAUAAUAAUUAUUAUAUAAAUAUAAUAAAUAAAUUAAUAAAUAUUAUAAAUAAUAAUAUAAAUAAUAAUUUAUGUAAUAUUUUAAGUUAUUAUUAUAAUAAAAAAGUAACUAUUGAACCUAUUAAAUUAUCAUAUAUUUAUUUAAAUAGUGAUAUUUUUAGUAAAUAUAUUAGUUUAAAUGAUAUAGAUAAAUAUAAUAAUGGUAUCUUAACUAAUUAUCAACGUAUAUUAAAUAAUAUUAUGCCUAAAUUAAAUGAUCAUAAUAUUUCUAUAAAUUAUAUUAAUAAUAUUAAUAAUAUUAAUAAUAAUAAAUAUAAUAAUAUAAUUAAUUUAUUAAAUAAUAAUAAUAAUAAUAAUAAUAUUAAUAAUAAUAAUAAUUAUAAUAAUAAUAAUAAUAAUUAUAUUGGUAAUAUUAAUAAUAUUUAUAAUAAUAUAACUAUUGAUAAUAUUCCUAUAGAUAUUUUAAUAUAUAAAUAUUUAGUUGGUUGAUCUAUUAAAUUUAAAGGUAGAUUAAGUAAUAAUAAUGGUAGAACUAGUACACUUAAUUUAUUAAAUGGUACUUUUAAUAAUAAAAAAUAUUUAUGAAGUAAUAUUAAUAAUAAUUAUAAAUUAAAUUAUAUCCCUUCUAAUCAUAAUUUAUAUAAUAAUUCUAAUAUUAAUAAAAAUGGUAAAUAUAAUAUUAAAGUUAAAUUAAACUUUAUUUAA